rnacentral:tRNA from 1 species
GAGCCACUUCCACUCUGCAAGCCUUCCGGCCUUGAAAACCGGUAUGGCGGGUGACCGUCAUCGUGGGUUCGAAUCCCACGCCCU